rnacentral:rRNA from 1 species
CUACGGGGGGCACCAGUGGGGGAUAUUGGACAAUGGGAGAAAUCCUGAUCCAGCAAUUCUGUGUGCAUGAUGACGGUCUUCGGAUUGUAAAGUGCUUUCGACAGGGAAGAAUCAAUGACGGUACCUGUAUAAGAAGCGACGGCUAAAUACGUGCCAGCAGCCGCGGUAAUACGUAUGUCGCAAGCGUUAUCCGGAAUCACUGGGCAUAAAGGGCGUCUAGGCGGUUUAAAAAGUCAGUGGUGAAAGGUAUGGGCUCAACCCGUGCAUUGCCAUUGAAACUCUUAGACUAGAGUAUGGGAGAGGAGGGCGGAACUACAAGAGUAGCGGUGAAAUGCGUAGAUAUUUGUAGGAAUGCCAAUGACGAAGGUAGCUCUCUGGACCAAUACUGACGCUAAAGCGCGAAAGCUAGGGUAGCAAACAGGAUUAGAUACCCCAGUAGUC